CUCUUCGGGGAUGAUUAAACCGGCGCACGGGUGAGUAACACGUGAGUGACCUGCCUUUUAGACUGGAACAACUUACCGAAAGGUGAGCUAAUGCCGGAUGAGUUAUAUAAGUGCAUGUUUAUAUAGGAAAAGUUGGGGAGACCUGACGCUGAAAGAUGGACUCGCGUCCCAUUAGCUAGUUGGUAGGGUAAUGGCCUACCAAGGCGACGAUGGGUAGCCGGCCUGAGAGGGUGGCCGGCCACACUGGGACUGAGACACGGCCCAGACUCCUACGGGAGGCAGCAGUGGGGAAUUUUGCGCAAUGCUCGUAAGAGUGACGCAGCGACGCCGCGUGAAUGACGAAGGCCUUCGGGUCGUAAAGUUCUUUCGACAGGGAAGAAAAUGCCUAUAAGUAACUGUGUAUGUAUUGACGGUACCUGUAUAAGCAGCCCCGGCUAACUCCGUGCCAGCAGCCGCGGUAAUACGGAGGGGGCGAGCGUUGUUCGGAGUGACUGGGCGUAAAGAGCACGUAGGCGGUGUUGUAAGUCAUUAGUCAAAGACUAGAGCUCAACUUUAGUAAGGCUAGUGAUACUAUAAUACUAGAGUAUCAGAGAGGAUUGCAGAAUUCCUGGUGUAGCGGUGAAAUGCGUAGAUAUCAGGAGGAAUACCGUUAGCGAAGGCGGCAAUCUGGCUGGAAACUGACGCUGAGGUGCGAAAGCGUGGGUAGCAAACAGGAUUAGAUACCCUGGUAGUCCACGCUGUAAACGAUGGAUGCUAGGUGUUGGGCUUUUAAGUUCAGUGCCGCAGCAAACGCGAUAAGCAUCCCGCCUGGGGAGUAC
rnacentral:rRNA from 1 species